UCCCUUCCUCCCUCCUCUUUCUCCUCCUCCUCGUGCAUCCCUUCUCCCCUCCCCUGUUCCGCACCCUGCUCCCAGAAAACCAAAACCAAAUUUUGGUUUUCUUUGGUUUUACUCUCCUUUAAAAACCCACAAUUAAAUUGGGCCAUCUUAUUUGGGCUUUUGGAAACUGGACUCGGAGCUCAGGACGAACGAACCAACGAAAACCCUUAGCAAAUCGCGGAAGUGAGGUACUGAUGGGGACGAUGGACACGAGUAGUGGCGAGGAAUUUCACGUUAAUAAUAUUCACCUAGUUUAUGCUUAAAGUUUUAAUAGUUUUAAUUAAAGACUUUUAGUAAGUUAUGUACUUUUAUUUUGAUAAUAUAAAGGAUUAUUAUAUAUAUUUUGGAGUAUUUAAUGGCUUAUGAUUGAUGUUUGCCUUGUAAUUUCCAAAAAGGAAGUUACGGCAGGUAAUGCCCUGACCAAUUAGGUUAAUUCCGCUGCUAAUUAUGCUUUAAUAAUUG